rnacentral:rRNA from 1 species
GAUGAACGCUAGCGGCAGGCCUAACACAUGCAAGUCGAGGGGUAGCAGGAUUAAGCUUGCUUAAUUGCUGACGACCGGCGCACGGGUGCGUAACGCGUAUGCAACCUGCCUUAUACCGGGGUAUAGCCCGGAGAAAUUCGGAUUAAUCCCCCAUAGUACUAAUGAAUCGCAUGGUUUAUUAGUUAAAGCAUUGCGGUAUAAGAUGGGCAUGCGUCCUAUUAGCUAGAUAGUGAGGUAACGGCUCACCAUGGCUACGAUAGGUAGGGGGCCUGAGAGGGUGGUCCCCCACACUGGUACUGAGACACGGACCAGACUCCUACGGGAGGCAGCAGUGAGGAAUAUUGGUCAAUGGGCGCAAGCCUGAACCAGCCAUGCCGCGUGCAGGAAGAAUGCCCUAUGGGUUGUAAACUGCUUUUAUUUGGGAAUAAACCUCUUUACGUGUAGAGAGCUGAAGGUACCAAAUGAAUAAGCACCGGCUAACUCCGUGCCAGCCGCCGCCGUAA